rnacentral:sRNA from 1 species
CUCUGUCAUCAGCAACGUAAUUUCCGCUCUGCCAGGCCCGGCUGUGCUUUGUGUCUGCGCGUGGGUGGGCCAAAAAAAAAAAGAAAAAAAAGAAAGCAAAAGCAAAAGCAAAAUGCGAAACAAAAAAGGAUUAAGGGCUGGAGAAAACUGUGUAGCCGAGACAAAAACUGCAGCGAUUGACCUCCAGCCGGAGUUCAUAAACAUCAAGUGGCCGGCAUAUCAAAUGGCCAAUGGUUCGGGCAACAAGUGAUCCGCUCCCAGUUGAGGACAGGUAUCAAAAACAACAACAGCAACAACAACAACAACAACAACUUGGCAGUUCAUCAAAUUCUCAUGUGACCAGAGCCCAAAAGGUUCAAUUCGUUCGUUUCAUACGAAAUUUGAUAUGCGGGUCACAUAUUAAUGACUUCUUUCAUUUUACAUAACACUCGAUUCGAUGAACUGGCGACAGCCCCCCCGCCCGGCCCCGCCCGACCGACUGCAAGCAGAGCUAUUGCACCCAGCACUUGUUGGAUUCUAGGGCUUGGCCGUUGCCGCCUCGGAAAUUCCCAUUCCACCCGAUCGUGGCGACCCUUUUUGACAGUACCCAGUAACCAGGCGCGUGAUGGAACGCCGGACAAUGGAAGUGCCACCGAGGAGUGUGUGUGUGUGUGCGUGUGUGUGUGCCCCGCCUGGUUAGUGGCAACAGGUAGCGAGUGCAUUUGUAUGCAGCAUGGCGGAUGCGCCGGCCGAAGCGUUUAUUUCUUCAUUUGACGCAAAUGAUGUUCGACACAAGCCUGGAAUGCACUAAACCGCUAACUAAGCACAAUCCGAAGCCCGAAUCCACCAAUCCCCAAAUCCCAAAACCCAAACCCAAACCCGAAGCCGAAGCCGAGAGCUGAUGUCGAAACUGAAACCGAAGCUAAGCCAGAACCAGAGUUUUCUGACCGCAGCACGCAAAGGGAAAGGCAACCGACUGCAACAACAACAACAUAUGGCCAGAUACACUAGUUUUCAGAACUUUCUCUACCUUCUCCUCGACGACAUCAAAUCUCUAACCCUGCAGCUGAGCUCAAAAAUUGUGUUGAUUUUCCGAAAAGAAACUUACUUUGUGACAAAAAAUUUCUCGCGGUGCAUGAUUCUUGUUAUUUGAAACCCGGAUUUAAACAGAACAUGAAAAAGAAAGAAGAACGAGCCACAAAUUACUUUUACCGAUCACAAACACACAACAACAACAACAACAAGAAGAACAAGAGCCAGGCGAGGAAUAAGAACAUGAAGACGCGGAGAAUGACGACGAUGAUGACAAGUCGAAGUGAAGUGGACACCAGCUGAAUGCAAAUGCAUAAAUUAAGCGACAAGCAAACAAAUUUCCUAUGUACAAAUGCACUUGUCCAAAGGUUGGGCACAAUGCCCGAUCCUCAAUAUGCCAUGCCCACGCAUCCAUUCGCGGCCCAAACAAAUUGUGCAUGCAAAACCGAAUUCUCGACAAGAAUAUGGGCAUUAUUAUUAUGGUAUUAUUUUGUUUCUUGUAAGGCCGCCAAGCCGGAUGAACUUAUUGUUUAUGACAAUUUUGUUGAUGUUAUGCGGAAUUCCGAAAGAAACAUGGGCCAAGGCGUUGACAGCCUACAAAGUAACUUGUUAAGCGAUUUUUGAUUCUCACUGCAAGCAAGAAAUAUGGCAAAUAGCUAUUGUUACGACUGAGGAUUCGAACCUUUAACCAGAUUUUCACUAGUUCAAACCUUAAACCUUAUC